rnacentral:rRNA from 1 species
AUAUUGGACAAUGGGGGCAACCCGGAUCCAGCCAUGCCGUGUGUGUGAAGAAGGCCUUCGGAUUGUAAAGCACUUUAAGUUGGGAGGAAGGGCUUUAGGCUAAUACUCGGAAGUUUUGACGUUACCAUCAGAAGAAGAUCCGGCCAACUCGGUGCCAGCAGCCUCGGUAAUACAGAGGGUGCAAGCGUUAAUCGGAAUUACUGGGCGUAAAGCGCGCGUAGGUGGUUCAGUAAGAUGGGUGUGAAAUCCCCGGGCUUAACCUGGGAACUGCUUUCAUAACUGCUGAACUAGAGUACGGUAGAGGGUAGUGGAAUUUCCUGUGUAGCGGUGAAAUGCGUAGGUAUAGGAAGGAACACCAGUGGCGAAGGCGACUACCUGGACUGAUACUGACACUGAGGUGCGAAGGCGUGGGGAGCAAACAG